rnacentral:rRNA from 1 species
CACGGUAGGGUGCGAGCGUUGUCCGGAAUUAUUGGGCGUAAAGAGCUCGUAGGCGGUGUGUCGCGUCGGCCGUGAAAACCUGCAGCUUAACUGUGGGCUUGCGGUCGAUACGGGCAUCACUGGAGUUCGGCAGGGGAGACUGGAAUUCCUGGUGUAGCGGUGAAAUGCGCAGAUAUCGGGAGGAACACCGGUGGCGAAGGCGGCGAUCUGGCCCAACACUGACACUGAGACCCAAAAGCGUGGGGAUCAAACAGGACUU